rnacentral:rRNA from 1 species
UACGUAGGGGGCAAGCGUUGUCCGGAUUUAUUGGGCGUAAAGAGCGUGUAGGCGGUUUGGUAGGUCCGUUGUGAAAACUCGAGGCUCAACCUCGAGACGCCGAUGGAAACCAUCAGACUAGAGUCCGGAAGAGGAGAGUGGAAUUCCCGGUGUAGCGGUGAAAUGCGCAGAUAUCGGGAAGAACACCCGUGGCGAAGGCGGCUCUCUGGGACGGUACUGACGCUGAGGCGCGAAAGCGUGGGGAGCGAACAGG